rnacentral:rRNA from 1 species
GAUCCUGGCUCAGAAUCAACGCUGGCGGCGUGCCUAACACAUGCAAGUCGAACGCGAAAGUCCCGCAAGGGAUGAGUAGAGUGGCAAACGGGUGAGUAACACGUGGGUGACCUGCCUUCGAGCGGGGGAUAACGUCCCGAAAGGGACGCUAAUACCGCAUAACAUCCUGCCUUUGAAGAGGCGGUGAUCAAAGCUGGGGAUCGCAAGACCUAGCACUUGAAGAGGGGCCCGCGUCCGAUUAGCUAGUUGGUGGGGUAAUGGCUCACCAAGGCAACGAUCGGUAGCCGGCCUGAGAGGGCGGACGGUCACACUGGGACUGAGACACGGCCCAGACUCCUACGGGAGGCAGCAG